rnacentral:rRNA from 1 species
GGGUCAUUAGGUUGGUCGUGCCACCGGUACGUACUGGUCUCACUGAUUCCUCCUUCCUGAAGAACCGUAAUGCCAUUAUUUUGGUGUUGCGGGGAAACAGGACUGUUACUUUGAAAAAAUUAGAGUGUUUAAAGCAAGCUAACGCUUGAAUACAUUAGCAUGGAAUAAUGAAAUAGGACGAUCGAUCCUAUUUUGUUGGUUUCUAGGAUUGACGUA